UACGGGGGGUCCAAGCGUUGUUCGGAAUCACUGGGCGUAAAGCGCACGUAGGUGGCUUUCAAGUCUGUUGUGAAAGCCCAGGGCCUAACCCUGGAAGUGCAGCAGAUACUGUUAAGCUUGAGUAUGGGAGAGGAUAGUGGAAUUUCUGGUGUAGUGGUGAAAUACGUAGAUAUCAGAAGGAACACCAGUGGCGAAGGCGGCUAUCUGGCCCAAUACUGACACUGAGGUGCGAAAGCGUGGGGAGCAAACAGG
rnacentral:rRNA from 1 species